rnacentral:lncRNA from 1 species
GAAGCUUGACGAAGAAGACGACGAACUCGUUAAAGACGGACACCGUGAAACUCAUGAAUACGGCGACGGCGGAUCUCCACGAGAGAGAAGAUAGAUCUGAAAAAAGGCGUUUAUGGUUGAAGAUAAGGAAAGGUUAAUUUAGUCUUUUGCCAUUUAGUGAAGAAGGUAUUUUUGAAAAUGUCCAUUUAGUGGUGGUAAAAGUGAAAAGUGGUACACCACAAAGUGUAUAAUUGAAAUUUCCCCAAUGGAAGAAGUAUCUGUUGUUAGCCAAAUCCGAAAAUGGAAGAAGUAUAGAAAAAAAAAACAAAAAAAAGCUUGUCUAACGAAAUUGAAACCCUAAAAUAUGGGCUACUAGGUGAUU